UUUUUUUGCAGUUUUUAUUCUGCAAGAGUAGUGUGUGGUGUGAACUGACCACUGAAAUGCAGCUCUAGGACAUUUUGUUUUAGUGGGUACGAGUUAACAGCAUAAAACCGGAAUGAUCUGUUGAGAAAAAAAAGUAAUUUACAUAAAGUUACUGUAGACCAAUGAAACACAAACUCAGCAAGUGCACAUAAACGUAUGAAGCUUCCUUCUACCAUCAGUAGAUCAUUAUGAUGAUGAUGAUGAUGGACAGGACCUUUCUGCAAGUGUUUUAUCUCACAGGGUGGUUCAUCUUCUCCUUAGGUCUUUACAAUGAGUAUUACUUUGUUAAUACACCUUUGAACUGGACUCAGGCUCAGAACUACUGCAGAACCACAUACACAGACCUGGCAACCAUUGAAAACAUCACAGAAAUGAACCAUGUUAUCGAUACUUUAUCUGGUAGCAACUCCCCAAUCUGGACUGGUCUGUACGUUCAGAACUAUUGGCGUUGGACACAUCAAAUUUGGGACGAGUUUGUAGAUUUACAGAACCAAAUCAAAAAUGGUCCAAUUUUACCGUAUAGUUUUGGUUAUACUUUGUCAGGUAGCGGAGUACAGCUUUUUGAAAACUAUUUCAUGAAACGUCCCUUCAUCUGUGCUAAUGGUAAGAACACAUCAACAUCUUCUACAACCAAUGUUCUUGAAAUUCAAUAGAUGCUGUGGAAAGUAAAAGUUUGUUCUGUACACGUGUAAAUAGUAUUUCUGAUAACUCAUCAUGAUCAUCUUGUUAUUCUCACCUUUAACUUCAGGAACACAGGAGGUUUAUGUGAAUCAGUCUGUGGACUGGUUCACAGCCUGGAGGUACUGCAGAGAGAACUUCACUGACCUAGACUCUUAUGCUUACGUACCAUGGAACGCCAGCUCAUGGUUGUUUACCGCAUGGGUCGACAACAAAAAUCUGAACAAUUUGGUGCCACCUGGCGUGCGAGUCUGGAUCGGCCGUGUUUUGUAUCCACAAAUGUCCUGGUCUGAUGGCAGCAACUACUCAUUCUCAUACUGGGAUAACAUUACGUUUUACCCUGAAUGGCGAGACACGCUGCAUGGUGCUGUGGACUUGCAAAGAUCAGGAAAAUGGAGGCUACUGCCAAAUUAUACAACAUUACCAUUUGUCUGCUAUGACAGAGUGGAUAAGAAGAUAUUCAAGCUGCGACUCAGCUCCUCUGUGGAUCUGAACGACCCAGAUGUGAAUGAAAGCAUCCUCAAGCAGGUGCAGGACAGACUGAAGGAGCAAGGAGUGAAUGGAGUCACACUGAAAUGGAGGAAACAGGCGGAUGGGAAAAUCUUUCACAAGGGGGAAAUGAACGGUGGAUGCUGAAUUAGCAUUUGAUGAUUGAUACAGUUUAUUAUGUAUAGAAAAGAGAAACAUAGAGAACAUUUAACCAAACAUUUAGUAAAGUAGCUUCUGCUUCAAUAUUCUGUAUUUUUUGUGUCUGAACAGCAACUCUGUUUAAAUCUGUUUAAAUUCUUGUGAAAAGAGUUCAGCAGCGUCACCUUGUGUUUGAGUUGUAGAAUUGUGUGUAGUUUGUAGAAUUAGAGAAAAGAAAUAUUAGAAAAGAAGUAUUUCCCUGAGCUUGGACGUCAGGACACACGCUGGUGGUGUUUCUCUGUGUUACUGUCAAACUGAAUGCUAGAAAAACCACAAGAUUGUGCUUUGAUCACAAAACAAACUGUGUCACUUGAGUCAUUUAUCACUUCUCACAUUUGUAUUUAUGGAUAAGACCAACGAACAACCAAUAUGCAGCAAAGCAGCAGAAAUGCAGUGUGAAUUCAAAGGCAGGUCAAGGAGGCAGCAUCUACUGUAAGCGUGGGUUUAGUUUAUCUGAGGGAGGAAAACUCCUGCAUCACAUGUCACACAGCUAAACACAAGGCACACGGUGACUGCUUGUCUAUUGCAGUCCACACGUUCAGCUCCUGCUUGAAUCGCAUCUGUAACAAGCAGACGUUACAGGACACCAGUCAGAAUCUGCUGUAUGAAGUUCACUAAAACCUUCAGCAGGCAACGAAGACCCUGCAGCUGAUGACUCCACCAGCAGAGCAGCACAGAGUGGGCUCAGUGAUGCAGGCGUCUACAGGCUAGACUUCACAUCAGAACCAACAUCUCUAAACCACAAAUGUCCCUUUGAGGUUGUAGCUGAAAUAAAACUCAUACAGUAUAUGUACA
ensembl:lncRNA